CCUACGGGUGGCAGCAGUGAGGAAUAUUGGUCAAUGGGCGCGAGCCUGAACCAGCCAAGUAGCGUGCAGGAUGACUGCCCUACGGGUUGUAAACUUCUUUUAUAAAGGCAUAAAGUUAUGCACGUGUGCCUUUUUGUAUGUACUUUAUGAAUACGGAUCGGCUAACUCCGUGCCAGCAGCCGCGGUAAUACGGAGGAUGCGAGCGUUAUCCGGAUUUAUUGGGUUUAAAGGGAGCGUAGAUGGGUUGUUAAGUCAGGUGUGAAAGUUUGCGGCUCAACCGUAAAAUUGCAAUUGAUACUGGCAGUCUUGAGGACAGUUGAGGUAGGCGGAAUUCGUGGUGUAGCGGUGAAAUGCUGAGAUAUCACGAAGAACCCCGAUUGCGAAGGCAGCUUACUAAACUGUGACUGACAUUGAUGCUCGAAAGUGUGGGUAUCAAACAGGAUUAGAUACCCGAGUAGUC
rnacentral:rRNA from 1 species